rnacentral:rRNA from 1 species
GACGAACGCUGGCGGCGUGCUUAACACAUGCAAGUCGAACGGAAAGGCCCUGCUUUUGUGGGGUGCUCGAGUGGCGAACGGGUGAGUAACACGUGAGUAACCUGCCCUUGACUUUGGGAUAACUUCAGGAAACUGGGGCUAAUCCCGGAUAGGAGCCCCUGCUGCAUGGUGGGGGUUGGAAAGUUUCGGCGGUUGGGGAUGGACUCGCGGCUUAUCGGCUUGUUGGUGGGGUAGUGGCUUACCAAGGCUUUGACGGGUAGCCGGCCUGAGAGGGUGACCGGCCACAUUGGGACUGAGAGACGGCCCAGACUCCUACGGGAGGCAGCAGUGGGGAAUAUUGCACAAUGGGCGGAAGCCUGAUGCAGCAACGCCGCGUGCGGGAUGACGGCCUGCGGGGUGUAAACCGCUUUCGCCUGUGACGAAGCGUGAGUGACGGUAAUGGGUAAAGAAGCACCGGCUAACUACGUG